rnacentral:lncRNA from 1 species
UGUACUGAGGACUUCUUGAUUUUAAGGAUGUCUGUGAUAUGCAGAUUGGGAACUGCUGUUUUGGAAAGUGUCUUUCAGUUCAAGCGAGCGUGCUUUCAACAGACCAAUUCUGAGUUUCUACAAGCAAGACUGAAGUUUUUGAAAGUUGCCCCUGUUUUCAGUCACACAAAUCUGUUAAAAUUUAAACAUAAAAUGGACAUCCAAAUGCCUUUCUGGCAGCUUUGAAAGUCUUAGCUUAUGGGAGCGCUGUUGCAACUGCCAGAGAAACAGUCCAUGAAACCUGUAUAUCAGCCAAGUGAUUCAAGGAAAUUAUUGGUAGCCACCAUUAUGGUUUUGUUUUCAUUGGCAAAAGAAUUACUGUAGUAGCUUUGCUAUCUUGCCUCAGUUUUUCAUCCAGACUGCCAGUAAUAAAAAGUAUGAAUACUUCA